ACGCUUUGAUUUUCCUGUACUUCUCAAACUGUAUUUGCCGCCGCGAAACGGCGAUUCUGAACAAAUCGCAGCGAUCGUCAUUGCCGGAAGAAAAUAUUGCCAGUGCUAAUUUCACUAUCUUCAACUCCUCCCUCUUCUGCUCAUCGAUCUCCUCUUUUCAGUCUCUAAAACUAGCUCUAACACGCAUCUUUUCCGCACAAUCUCGGCAAUCCUCGCCACUGCAAGAAAACGUUGAAGGCGAUCUCUCCAUUCACCUCUUUAUUUACUUAUAUUCAUCGUCGAGAAAAAUCUGGGACGACAGCAUCUUCCCUCUCUCAGAUAUGAAUAGAUUUUUGAUAGUUGUAAGUCUAGGUUUUUAUUCUUAAGAAGGUUAGCUUUAGGAUUAGGAUUUAGGGUUUAUUUUUUAACGAAUUAGGAUUUAGGGUUUAUUUUUUAACGAAUUAGGAUUUUGGCGAUAUGCGAUGCAGAUUCUGAAAAACAGAGAAAGCCACAUUGGUAUAAACUUAGGACUGUGGUUUUGCAGGAAAUUAGAAAAUUUCAGAAAUCAACAUAUUUGCUGAUACCAAUCAUCAAGCACUCCAUCCAUCUAAAAUGUGAGUACUUCAUGUGUUUGUCCAACACCUAUCCUUAAUUUAUGAUAUUUCUUGCCAAGAAAUAAAAUCUGUUUGUUCAUUUGAUUGAUUUUCGCUGUUGAUUUAUAAACUUAGCCAGUUUAUAUUACUUAUAUUUGUCUCUGAUCAAACUAUAUUUAUCAAUAUUCUUUUAGCUCCGAUCAAAUUCUCUGCACUUUUCCAAUUUUAUUCUUUUAAUAAUAUUUAGCUUCUUAGAUUUAGUCAACUCAUCAUAUACAAUCUUUAAAUCUGUGGUGUGGCUUGAAUGAUUAGUUACAAUAUUUUGAUUUUCGCCCAUUGCAUUGUCUUUUCAACACGUAGUAAUCCUUUCCUCCUCACCACAAAGUUGGCAGAAGACUUAAAAGUAAAAAAACCUUGAUGAUCCUAAACAGAUUAGCUCUCACUGUGUGUGUGUUUUUUUACCAACUUUGAAUUCACAUGGUAAUGUAUUAACUAGUAUGUGAGAAUAUAGUAUUAUUAUUUCAAAAAAAAUAUGAUCCUUUGGAUUUUUUAGGGGUUUUGGCAUUUGGGAUUACUAUUUUUAGCUUAAUUGAUAUAUUGUUUUUUUUUUGUUGAAAUUAAUGUUAAAAAUAGGCUAGGGAAAUCACUCAAAUAUAUGCAACAGAAGUCAACAGAUGGACUCCUGAAGCAUUACUGCCAUUACAAUUUACAAGUGGUGAGUUCUUAUUUUACAAUAAAAACUUAGAAUCUUGAAUCUUGAUAUGAUUUGGCUUACUACUCCCUCAGGCCUCAACCAAUUGAAUGAGAGCCAUUUAUAUAAGGUAUAGAGCAACAAAAAGAAUGAACGAUAUAGUAUUACAUUUGUAGCUAUUUUCCUUAUUAAUGAUCAGGCAAAUGCAAGGAGGUCACUUAAAUUUAGUAGAUCACCGGAAAAUUCAAGAAUUUUAGCUUAUGUUCACUUUAAUCAGCAUAAAGCAACUAUGUUCACUUCAAUCAGCAUAAAAUCCUUAUUUCGUUGUUCGCGAAAUAUGCUAUAUUUUUAUAAAGUGCUUGCAAGUAGGGGUGAGAACGGAGCAGGUCGGGGUAGAUAUUCUGUCCCUUUUUUAUUUUUCUGUCCCCGAAGCAGGUCUCGGGGCAGGGCAAAACCCAGGCGGGUCGCCCGAGUUUAAAAAAUAUAUUAUAUUAUACUAUAUUAGAUAUAGAUUAUUAGGAUUAUGAAUUUAUUAUAUUUUUAUCUAUGUGAUUAUGUCUAUUUUAGAUUUAUUUUUUAUUUUUACUUUUAAAAAUUAUGGUAAAAAAUUUACCCAUUUUAAAUUUUAAGCUUACUCUUUUAAUUAUUUUUUUAUCAUUUUUUUAUAAUUCCAGGGCUUGUCGUUCCGUUUCGCGCCCCGGUCACUAGGUCCGGGACAGGGUAUAUGGGCACUUGACCCGUCCCGGCAAAACAGGACGGAUACCGGGAUAGGGCCGCCUACGACCCGUUCUCAUCACUACUUCCAAGUUCCGUUUAUCUGAAAAUUGCUCUAUUUUUUAUGUUUGAUGUGCAGUGAAGAAAGAUCUUGAGCUGAAAUCUUGAUCUUGAGGAAAGAAUAG
rnacentral:lncRNA from 1 species